AUUAACUAGCAGUAGCCAUGGCUAAACCAAUGAUUUAAUGAAUAAAUUCUUGGAAAACCAUUCUUAACUAGUGAAAUUUCAUGCAAGGUUGAUUGUAGUUGUUGCAGCGUUUGCAGACUGCAGAGGGUCCAUACUAAAGGCCUCUCUGUGUGUAAAAUUCUGCGGCAUCUAGUGCUUUCUCACGCUCACAUGAUAGGGAAUCCUUCAUAAAAUAA
rnacentral:misc_RNA from 1 species